rnacentral:rRNA from 1 species
UACGUAGGGUGCUAGCGUUGUCCGGAAUUAUUGGGCGUAAAGAGCUCGUAGGCGGCUUGUCGCGUCGGAUGUGAAAGCCCGGGGCUUAACUCCGGGUCUGCAUUCGAUACGGGCAGGCUAGAGUGUGGUAGGGGAGAUCGGAAUUCCUGGUGUAGCGGUGAAAUGCGCAGAUAUCAGGAGGAACACCGGUGGCGAAGGCGGAUCUCUGGGCCAUUACUGACGCUGAGGAGCGAAAGCGUGGGGAGCGAACAGG